rnacentral:rRNA from 1 species
AAACUUUCAACAACGGAUCUCUUGGUUCUGGCAUCGAUGAAGAACGCAGCGAAAUGCGAUAAUUAAUGUGAAUUGCAGAAUUCAGUGAAUCAUCGAGUCUUUGAACGCAUCUUGCGCCCUCCGGUAUCCCGGUGGGCAUACCUGUUCGAGCGUCAUU